rnacentral:rRNA from 1 species
AUGGUGGUUGAUGCCCUAGCAUCCAUCCUUGAUAAGGCCAAGGAUGCUGGCCAUAUUCGUGGCAUCGUCCCCCACCUAGUCAGAGGGGGAGGGGUCUCCCUCCUUCAAUAUGCGGAUGAUACCAUAAUAAUGGUGGAGGGCUCCGUCCAAGACAUUGCUAACCUGAAGUUCCUCCUCCCGUGCUUCCAACAGAUGUCGGGCCUGACCAUCAACUUUGAUAAGAGCGAAGUGAUGGUUCUCGGGUUCCCCCCGGAGGAAGCACGGGCUAUUGCGGACCGGCUAAAUUGUCGGUUGGGUUCUUUCCCCACGACCUACCUGGGGAUCCCCAUUAGUGAUUCACGCCUCACCAUGGCGGAUUUUUGCCCCACGGUGACCCGUAUGCAACACCGCAUUGAGCCCUGGAAAGGGCGCUGGUUGUCGAAGGUUGCUCGCGUGAUCCUUAUCAAGUCUUCCCUUGCCAGCCUUCUUUGGUUCCUCAUGAGCUUCUAUAGCCUCCGUGAGACCCUUCAUCAAGAGAUCGCCAAAUACCAAUCUAGAUUCUUCUGGGAUGGGGAGGGGGAUAAG